rnacentral:rRNA from 1 species
CGUGGAGGAAGAAGAUUUUAUGGAUUGUAAAACUCCUGUCGUUAGGGACGAUAAUGACGGUACCUCACAAGAAAGCACCGCCUAACUACGUGCCAGCAGCCGCGGUAAAAUGUAGGGUGCAAGCGUUGUCCGGAAUUACUGGGUGUAAAGGGAGCGCAGGCGGGAAGACAAAUAGGAAGUGAAAACCAUGGGCUCAACCCAUGAAUUGCUUUCAAAACUGUUUUUCUUGAGUAGUGCAGAGGUAGAUGGAAUUCCCGGUGUAGCGGUGGAAUGCGUAGAUAUCGUGAGGAACACCAGUGGGGAAGGCGGUCUACUGGGCACCAACUGACGCUGAGGCUCGAAAGCAUGGGUAGCAAACAGGAUUAGAUACCCUGGUAGUCCAUCCCGUAAACGAUGAUUACUAGGGUGUUGGGGGAUUGACCCCCUCAGUGCCGCAGUUAACACAAUAAGUAAUCCACCCUGGGGAGUACGCCCGCAAGGUUGAAACUCAAAGGAAUCGACGGGGGCCCGCACAAGCAGUGGAGUAUGUGGUUUAAUUCGAAGCAACGCGAAGAACCUUACCAGGUCUUGACAUCCGAUGCAUAGUGCAGAGAUGCAUGAAGUCCUUCGGGACAUCGAGACAGGUGGUGCAUGGUUGUCGUCAGCUCGUGUCGUGAGAUGUUGGGUUAAGUCCCGCAACGAGCGCAACCCCUAUCCUCAGUAGCCAGCAUUUAAGGUGGGCACUCUGGGGAGACUGCCAGGGAUAACCUGGAGGAAGGCGGGGAUGACGUCAAAUCAUCAUGCCCCUUAUGGCCAGGGCUACACACGUGCUACAAUGGCGUAAACAAAGGGAAGCGAAGUCGUGAGGCGAAGCAAAUCCCAGAAAUAACGUCUCAGUUCGGAUUGUAGUCUGCAACUCGACUACAUGAAGCUGGAAUCGCUAGUAAUCGUGAAUCAGAAUGUCACGGUGAAUACGUUCCCGGGUCUUGCACACACCGCCCGUCA